GAAAAUAGGUCCUUUUCAGGCUUCAGAUUUUGGCAGGCUGGCAUGUUGACUUUAUCACCUCGGGAUCACUGGGGUUUCGUACGCCUUGCCGCAGGCUUCAUCAUGCGCAUGCGCACACCCCCUACCUGUUGGGCGCCAAGACCAGGCCGCAGGCCCAGGCCUGUGAGCCGCUUCCAGGAACAUCACCUGGCUGUCUUCCGCCUUGGACCCCAGCCUUCAACUUCCCCUCCCUGUUGUUUAAUCAGUCUUCAUCAAAUGUCAUUUUAGCUAUAUCAACUUAAUAUCCCUGGAAGUCAGAAGUCUCUGUGCAACAGAUAGAACCAACACAUCUCUAUCCGAAGAUAAGUUCCGCUUUCCUCAUUUCAGUUUGAUGAUAAACUCCAUACGUUUGGAUUAAUUGAGAGGAAAGGCAAGAGGCCAUAUAAAAAUGUUUGCAAGUUUGGGUUGUAGACCUAAAAAACGUUUUAAAAGGUCUAAGAAGAAGUGUAGACCACAGCAGUCUGGUAAAUAUAGAUCUUUAACAAGUUCAGUUUGUUCAUACAGUGCAGUGGGCAGUUUAAAAUGCCAUUUGGGAGGUAUUUUAACAGUCGUAAAGGUGGAUAUUGCCCAGGUUGCCCUCUUUAUUGGCUGAUGUAUAAGAGAGGGAUGGACUCGAGAGGCCAUUUCUGGGGCAGAAGACUCUGCUUGGUACCCAGUGCUCAGGUUCUCACCACCAGUGGUCCCCAACCCCAUGACCUGACGAGGCAGAUACCCAAAAGUUAGCUUGAAGAAUGUCAUCACACUCUUAUAAGAAGUAAGAAUGCCAGAAAUAAUAUAUUAUCCAAAUGAGAGUCAUCUGUUGUUUGUCCGGUGGAGAUGGUGGUGGUGAGAUGCAGGGAGAUGGAGAGAAAAAUGGGAGCACCACCUUUCUUUACAAAGCCAAAAGCUACAUCCCCAUUGACCUAGAUGUCAUAAGAGUUUUUUUUCCCCAAAGGGCACCAUGAUGGAGAAUCGGCUUUCCCAAGGACACACAUACCUUUGUCACACCAAGCACCACCUUGUCCUCAGACUGUUCUUGUACUGGCUUUGUUUACAAGCCAGAUUUUUUUUAAAAUGAGAAAAAUCAAAUGUUCACUUAAGAAGUGAAAUUUGAAUAAAAUUACAGUUUCAGGCAAAGCCUAUAUUAUUUUUAAAAUCAGCGAAUAAAGCAAGGGAUAUUAAAUCAUGAUCUUCACCUGAAC
rnacentral:lncRNA from 10 species